rnacentral:rRNA from 1 species
AUACAAUAGUGGCGCACGGGUGCGUAACACGUAUGCAACCUACCUUAUACUGGGGGAUAGCCUUUGGAAACGGAGAUUAAUACCCCAUAGCACAUUUAGAUGGCAUCAUUUGAAUGUUAAAGAUUUAUCGGUAUAAGCUGGGCAUGCGUCCAAUUAGUUAGUUGGUGAGGUAAUGGCUCACCAAGACUUUGAUUGGUAGGGGAACUGAGAGGUUAAUCCCCCACACUGGCACUGAGAUACGGGCCAGACUCCUACGGGAGGCAGCAGUAGGGAAUAUUGGGCAAUGGAGGCAACUCUGACCCAGCCAUGCCGCGUGCAGGAAGAAGGCGUUAUGCGUUGUAAACUGCUUUUAUAUAGGAAGAAAUAGUCCUUGCGAGGAAAGUUGACGGUACUAUAUGAAUAAGCACCGGCUAACUCCGUGCCAGCAGCCGCGGUAAUACGGAGGGUGCAAGCGUUGUCCGGAUUUAUUGGGUUUAAAGGGUGCGUAGGCGGUUUAUUAAGUCAGUGGUGAAAGACGGUCGCUCAACGAUUGCAGUGCCAUUGAUACUGGUAGACUUGAGUGGGAUUGAGGUAGCUGGAAUGGAUAGUGUA